rnacentral:rRNA from 1 species
AUUGAACGCUGGCGGCAGGCUUAACACAUGCAAGUCGAGCGGAGUGAUGGUGCUUGCACUAUCACUUAGCGGCGGACGGGUGAGUAAUGCUUAGGAAUCUGCCAUUUAGUGGGGGACAACAUUCCGAAAGGAAUGCUAAUACCGCAUACGGCCUACGGGAGAAAGCAGGGGAUCUUCGGACCUUGCGCUAAUAGAUGAGCCUAAGUCGGAUUAGCUAGUUGGUGGGGUAAAGGCCUACCAAGGCGACGAUCUGUAGCGGGUCUGAGAGGAUGAUCCGCCACACUGGGACUGAGACACGGCCCAGACUCCUACGGGAGGCAGCAGUGGGGAAUAUUGGACAAUGGGCGGAAGCCUGAUCCAGCCAUGCCGCGUGUGUGAAGAAGGCCUUUUGGCUGUAAAGCACUUUAAGCGAGGAGGAGGCUACCUGGAUUAAUACUCUAGGAUAGUGGACGUUACUCGCAGAAUAAGCACCGGCUAACUCUGUGCCAGCCGCCGCGGUAAUAC